GCUGUUUUUUAGUACGUUAUUUGCGCCUGGGUACGAGGCUGCCAUUUGUCCUUAAAAGCAUCUCUUUUCAAACUUGAAUCAGAUGGAGUGGGUUGCGAAGGUUGGGAUUGCGUGUUAUUAUCAUGUUGGUUAGGGGAUGAUAAAGGAUCGAUCUCACUAUCAAUUGGAGGUUGUACUUCAUCCGUUGAACCAUCAUUUGGUAACGCAGAGUUAAGAAGGUCAUUUGCAUCAUUUUGAACAACUGGAGAGGAGGGACUAGAAGGGUGUCUUGACGACCUAGGAGAAAAGAAAUCCGCAGCCGUCGGUCUCUGAUACCGUCUGUAAGAAGUACGGUCUUUCUGGUAAAGUCUCGGGGAAGGACCUGAUGCGGGAGGGGAGAACCUGGAGGAGUCAUUAGCGUCAGAAGAUAAGGAAAUUUCCGUAGUAGAAACUGGCGAGGAAGUCAGACCAACUGUUUGUGG